AUUGAACGCUGGCGGCAGGCUUAACACAUGCAAGUCGAGCGAGCGGCGGACGGGUGAGUAAUAUCUGGGAAACUGCCUGAUGGAGGGGGAUAACUACUGGAAACGGUAGCUAAUACCGCAUACCAUCAGAGGUGCCCAGAUGGGAUUAGCUAGUCGGUGGGGUAAUGGCUCACCUAGGCGACGAGCCCUAGCUGGUCUGAGAGGAUGACCAGCCACACUGGAACUGAGACACGGUCCAGAGUCCCACGGGAGGCAGCAGUGGGGAAUAUGGCACAAUGGGCGCAAGCCUGAUGCAGCCAUGCCGCGUGUAUGAAGAAGGCCUUCGGGUUGUAAAGUACUUUCAGCGGGGAGGCGUUACUCGCAGAAGAAGCACCGGCUAACUCCGUGCCAGCAGCCGCGGUAAUAC
rnacentral:rRNA from 1 species